rnacentral:lncRNA from 1 species
CGGGAUUAGUCGAAAUACCAGUGAAUGGAACAUGAAUCUCUGUUAUAUACAGAGUUCACUUUAUUAUUGAUUAGAUUUUUUUUUUUUUUGGGUUCAAAAAACGAAACAAUCUAUUCCGUUACCAGAUUAUGUCUUAUUUAUUACUUCCCAAUUGCAUAGGUUCAUAUCAUUCAUAGCAUGUAAGAUGCUAAUAAAAUACAAUGACAUAUAGUUUUCAAAUAAUUAGAACCCAAUCCUGGAGUUACACUGCUAAUUCAAAUUGCAUGUGCAUGCUGAUCAGGAACAGUAGCAGUAAGAGUUAAGAACAUAAUGCGUCUACAGAAGAAUCCAUAUGAAUAUCUACGCCCACAUCUGAAUCACUUUCUCUUGUGCUUAAUUAUCCAUGAACUGGGUUUCUCUGUUAGCAGAAAAAUAAGCAAAUGAGGUUACACAAAUAAAGAAGGAAAAAUGGAAAAGUUUUGAGCAGAGUGUAAAUCUUACAUCUCUACCGGCGUCUCUCUUUCGCCAAUUUGCCAAAUUGGGCCCUGUAGCGAGCACAUCAAGUUAGAAUACAACAUGCUAAAUUUUUAGCUCUAAGGUAUAAAUAAGGGCCUCUGCAAUCUUAUUUAGAUUCUGCAAAACGAGUAAAACUAUUCAAAAAAGUAUUAACAAUUCUUUUACUUAAAUCCAUCGACAGCGUAAGCGAAAGCUGUUUUCAGGAUCUUAUUUCAGCCUUUUGUGACAAUAAAAACUCUAUGUUAUUGCUUUUUCCCAAGUAUGCGACAAUUGCUUCAUAGUGUUAAAAAAAAAAAAAACAUUCCGGCACGGAGAAAAUGAAGUAAUACCUCUAUAAGGUAAUCCCGGAGGCGGUAAGGAGUGUGUUUCUGGCCCUUGGUAGUCGAUCUCGUAGAUCUCCGGCACUGCAGUAUCUUGAACAGAAGCUGUCGCAUAUCAAUUAACUUAAAAUCAGCUAAUAUCCUUCUAAUCAUUAAUUGCUCGUGCAAAUCAUUUUACCACCAAAUGGAAACCACAAAGAGUUGUAAGAAAACGAAUACAACAAAUAACAUACUGCUGAGAUCAAACCUGUAAGUUUUUUAUUUUUCUGACAAAACAAACCUGAAUAUACAGUUGACAGAGUCACUGCAAGAACCAAAAGGAUAAGAACAUAAACUCGAGAUCUUCGCGCCAUUUUCCACUACUCUCGACUUCGUAAUCGCCACGAGAGGAGGAAUCAAAUGAAUUAAGCCAUCACCAUUAUUAAGAGAGCAAGGUAUAGCUAGCAUAUGAGGCUGGUGAUGGUGAUGCACCAUUAAAUUAUGAUGCACCUGCACCACUAAUUAGCUAGAUGCUACAGUGGGGCCUGGUUUUACCGUAGGAU